CAAAGUGUGCUGUCGUCUUAACUAUACUACAGUUGUAAAAGUUAAUCAAGUUUUUAGUUGUUUAUUUUUCAUUUUGUUUGCAACUUUUUCCCUACCUUACAUAUCAAAACAUAAACUGGGCUUCAGCUGAGGAACAUGGUGAACGUAGUAUUUCCAACGAAUCCGACUGGAUUUAAACCUCGAACCUUUGGUUCCUGAGACAAUUAUCCAAUGACAAGAUAUGUUUUUGGCAUCAAGAACUAUUUCUCGAAUAGGAAAAUUUGCUUCAUAUAUAUUUUGUAAAAUAUAUUAAAAAAAGAUUUUUAGAUGAUAUUUAUAUCCUCAUUAAAGUUUAUAUAGCUCCCGUCUUGGUCUAAAAGUUGCUCUUUAAAUAAAUUUAAGUUAUUGUUGCUAUAAAUCCGUUUUUUUAAUGUUAUUUUACCAUUCGUAUUUGUUUUGUGGUCAGCGCCUCAGCAGAAAAAAAUUGGAAAGUGAUCCGAAACAUCAGUUUUUAUAAUACCUUUUUUGAGUGUAAUAUUAAAAUAGUCAUUGGUAAGAACGUUGUCAAUUAAGGAGGAUGAAGACUUUGUAAUUCUAUUUUUAGGUACUCAGUUCUUCCGGUUGGUGGCCGAUAACAGCAGCUUAGUAAAACAUUUUUAGAUUUUUUAUUUAUUAUUUCAACCGUUAAAAUCUCAAUAUUAUCAUCAGAAACACUCAUAUCGCUUCGAAUAUUAUACGCAAAGUUUUCUUUUAUGUAAAAAAGAACUCCUCCUCCACGCUUAUUAACAUUACGCUAUAAGAAGACUGUAUUAAAACCUGUAAGAUGGAGAUUAGAGUUUGAUUUAAAAUCUUCAAG